rnacentral:rRNA from 1 species
GUGGGGAAUUUUGGACAAUGGGGGCAACCCUGAUCCAGCCAUUCCGCGUGAGUGAAGAAGGCCUUCGGGUUGUAAAGCUCUUUCGUCAGGAACGAAACGGCGGGCUCUAACAUAGCCUGUUAAUGACGGUACCUGAAGAAGAAGCACCGGCUAACUACGUGCCAGCAGCCGCGGUAAUACGUAGGGUGCGAGCGUUAAUCGGAAUUACUGGGCGUAAAGCGUGCGCAGGCGGAUUGUUAAGCAAGACGUGAAAUCCCCGGGCUUAACCUGGGAAUGGCGUUUUGAACUGGCAGUCUAGAGUGCGUCAGAGGGGGGUGGAAUUCCACGUGUAGCAGUGAAAUGCGUAGAGAUGUGGAGGAACACCGAUGGCGAAGGCAGCCCCCUGGGCCUGUACUGACGCUCAUGCACGAAAGCGUGGGGAGCAAACAGGAUUAGAAACCCCGGUAGUC